AAAAGCAAGGGAUCGUAAGACCUUGCGCUUUUGGAGCGGCCGAUGUCUGAUUAGCUUGUUGGUAAGGUAAAAGCUUACCAAGGCUUCGAUCAGUAGCUGGUCUGAGAGGACGACCAGCCACACUGGGACUGAGACACGGCCCAGACUCCUACGGGAGGCAGCAGUGGGGAAUUUUGGACAAUGGGGGCAACCCUGAUCCAGCCAUGCCGCGUGAGUGAAGAAGGCCUUCGGGUUGUAAAGCUCUUUCAGCCGGAACGAAACGGUUACGGUUAAUACCCGUGACUACUGACGGUACCGGAAGAAGAAGCACCGGCUAAAUACGUG
rnacentral:rRNA from 1 species